GUGUAUGUCUGUGGGUGCUGUAUGUGUGUGGGUGCUGUAUGUGUGUGGGUACUGUGUAUGUCUGUGGGUGUUGUAUGUCUGUGGGUGCUGUAUGUGUGUGGGUGCGGUGUAUGUCUGUGGGUGCUGUGUGUGGGUGCUGUAUGUGUGUGGGUGCUGUAUGUGUGUGGGUGCUGUAUGUCUGUGGGUGCUGUAUGUCUGUGGGUGCUGUAUGUCUGUGGGUGCUGUGUAUGU